AAAUGAAAUUUUGCAAUUUUAAAUUUCCGAAAAAUUCACAAGCGAAUCCACAAUCUAUGGCGCCACAGUAACAAAGAACGGUAUCGACAGUGGCGUAUCGAUGACCUGUGCGCCCUGGGAAAAGUCUCUUGUCUAAUCGACAAUUGGUUGGCCGCUCGGUCCGAUACGGAUCGCGGUACGAUCGAGUGUGGUUGCAUACGUGCAGAGGCUGAAUAGGCUGAGAGGAAAAAGGUGGCUGGCUAUGAAUGGAAGAUGAGUGUUCCGGGCUUUCGUGCGGAUAAAUAGAGGCACACACGGUUUCAUAGGGAACUCGUCGAUCUGGAAUACUCUCAGGAUCAACCUGAAUGUUCCAUCUAUCAGCUGCGAUUCGAAUUUGAAUUUUCCUGGGAUUUGUAAAGGUCUUUUAUCCGAUCCUCAUGACUUCUAAAUGAUCGUCUCUUUUCAGGAUAACGGGGUCAAUCUAGCGUGAUACCAUUUCACUCUGAAGCUACAUUCUAACGUGCACAUAUACAUAUUUCUAUCUGUUUUACGUUUUUCAUUUAUCUUACUCUUUCGCGCGGCUACGUGUUUCUUUCAUUUGCCUGUUACGUAUCCGCUUAUUACCUGACAAUUAUUUUAUUAAAUUAUCUAUCAG
rnacentral:misc_RNA from 1 species